rnacentral:rRNA from 1 species
CUCAGUAACACGUAGUCAAUCUAACCUAUGGACGGGGAUAACCUCGGGAAACUGAGAAUAAUACCCGAUAGUUCAUUAUGCUUGGAAUGGUUUAUGAUUGAAAUGAUUCGUUCGUCAUAGGGUGGGACUGCGGCCUAUCAGUUUGUUGGUGAGGUAAUGGCCCACCAAGACUAUUACAGGUACGGGCUCUGAGAGGAGAAGCCCGGAGAUGGGUACUGAGACACGGACCCAGGCCCUAUGGGGCGCAACAGGCGAGAAAACUUUGCAAUGUGCGAAAGCACGACAAGGUUAAUCCGAGUGAUUCCUGCUAAAGGAAUCUUUUGUUAGUCAUAACACCACUAAUGAAUAAGGGGUGGGCAAGUUCUGGUGUCUGCCGCCGCGGUAAAACCAGCACCUCAAGUGGUCAGGAGGAUUAUUGGGCCUAAAGCAUCCGUAGCCUGUUCUAUAAGUUUCCGGUUAAAUCCAUUAGCUCAACUAAUGGGCUGCCGGAAAUACUGUUGAACUAGGGAGUGGGAGAGGUAGACGGUACUCGGUAGGAAGGGGUAAAAUCCUUUGAUCUAUUGAUGACCACCUGUGGCGAAGGCGGUCUACCAGAACACGUUCGACGGUGAGGGAUGAAAGCUGGGGGAGCAAACCGGAUUAGAUACCCGGGUAGUCCCAGCUGUAAACGAUGCAGACUCGGUGAUGCGUUGGCUUGUGGCCAGUGCAGUGCCGCAGGGAAGCCGUUAAGUUUGCCGCCUGGGAAGUACGUACGCAAGUAUGAAACUUAAAGGAAUUGGCGGGGGAGCACCACAAGGGGUGAAGCCUGCGGUUCAAUUGGAGUCAACGCCAGAAAUCUUACCCGGAGAGACAGCAGGAUGAAGGUCAAGCUGAAGACUUUACCAGACAAGCUGAGAAGUAGUGCAUGGCCGUCGCCAGCUCGUGCCGUGAAAUGUCCUGUUAAGUCAGGUAACGAGCGAGAUCCUUGCCUCUAGUUGCCACCAUUACUCUCAGGAGUAGUGGGGCGAAUUAGCGGGACUGCCGUAGUUAAUACGGAGGAAGGAGAGGGCCACGGCAGGUCAGUAUGCCCUGAAACUCUGGGGCCACACGCGGGCUGCAAUGGUAGUGACAAUGGGUUCCGAAUCCGAAAGGAGGAGGUAUCCUCAAACGCUACCCAGUUAUGACUGAGGGCUGCACUCGCCCUCACGAUAUGGAUCCUAGUACUGCGUGUCAUACCGC